CCUACGGGUGGCAGCAGUGGGGAAUAUUGCACAAUGGGGGAAACCCUGAUGCAGCGACGCCGCGUGAGUGAAGAAGUAUCUCGGUACGUAAAGCUCUAUCAGCAGGGAAGAAAAUGACGGUACCUGACUAAGAAUCCCCGGCUAACUCCGUGACAGCAGCCGCGGUCAUACGUAGGGGGCAAGCGUUAUCCGGAUUUACUGGGUGUAAAGGGAGCGGAGACGGCAGCACAGGUCAGGAGUGAAAUCCGGGGGCUUAACCCCGGAACUGCUUUGGAAACUGGGCGGCGGGAGUGCAGGAGAGGAGAGCGGAAUUCAAGGUGGAGGGGUGAAAUGCGUAGAUAUCAGGAGGAACAGCAGUGGCGAAGGCGGCUAACUGGAACGUAACUGACGUUGAGGAGCGAAAGCGUGGGGAGCAAACAGGAUUAGAUACCCCAGUAGUC
rnacentral:rRNA from 1 species